rnacentral:rRNA from 1 species
CCUACGGCGGGCAGCAGUGGGGAAUUUUGGACAAUGGGCGCAAGCCUGAUCCAGCCAUUCCGCGUGCAGGAUGAAGGCCUUCGGGUUGUAAACUGCUUUUGUGCAGAACGACAAGGGUUUGGCUAAUACCUGAGCCUGAUGACGGUACUGCAAGAAUAAGCACCGGCUAACUACGUGCCAGCAGCCGCGGUAAUACGUAGGGUGCAAGCGUUAAUCGGAAUUACUGGGCGUAAAGCGUGCGCAGGCGGUUUUGUAAGACGGAUGUGAAAUCCCCGGGCUUAACCUGGGAACUGCAUUGGUGACUGGGAAACUAGAGUGCGGCAGAGGGAGAUGGAAUUCCGCGUGUAGUAGUGAAAUGCGUAGAUAUGCGGAGGAACACCGAUGGCGAAGGCAGUCUCCUGGGCCUGCACUGACGCUCAUGCACGAAAGCGUGGGGAGCAAACAGGAUUAGAUACCCCUGUAGUC